GACGAACCGUGCGAACGUUGUUCGGAAUCACUGGGCUUAAAGGGCGCGUAGGCGGGCGACCAAGUCCUGGGUGAAAUCCUCCGGCUUAACCGGAGAAGUGCCUGAGAUACUGGUCGUCUGGAGGGAGGUAGGGGCAGCUGGAACUUCCGGUGGAGCGGUGAAAUGCGUUGAUAUCGUUUGGAACGCCAAAGGUGAAAACAGACAGCUGGGAGUGUGCUGACGCUGAGACACGAAAGCCAGGGGAGCGAACGGG
rnacentral:rRNA from 1 species